UGCGGUGCAGCGGGCAGCCUCGACUGGCAUUGGCGGCUUGGCGUUCCGCUGCCCGCUGGUGAGUGCUGAGUGCUACUAAUCUCAUCUGGCCUGGGCAGCUGGUCGUCUCACGGAAACUCGAAGAGCACAUCAGGAUUUGUGGUUGGCGCGCUGCAGCUGGUUGUACCGAUUUACUUUUUUUUUGUCUAUGUCUACUAAAAUCUCAGUUUCCCAAUCUGUCAAAUGGCAAUUCCCAUGAGCCCAUGACAUAUCAUACCUUUUGUGGACUUGACAAACAGAAUUGGUUGAAUCGGAACAUUUGUUCAUUAAUUAAUUGUAUUUGUGAAAAUUGCACAUCUGAUUUCUUGUAAGUGCCCAACUAUUAAGUGUUAAUUCAAAUUCAGUGAUUAUCCUUAUGAAAAUACAGGAGGCAAGGAUGAACCACAUUGGCACAUCGCCAUCAAUUAGGUAAUUUUCUAAUCAUUUUUAUGUUUUUAUCAAGAUUGUUAUACAAUUUAACGUGAAUAUCAAAUAUCAUCUAAAUUAUGAAUUUUAUGCUUUACUUUUAUUAUUAUCUAUAAGGUCCCUUUGGAACGUGGGAAAAUCCCUAAAUCCUGUGUUUUUUUUUUCCUGUUAGGGCUAGUUUGGCACCUAAUUUUUCCCAAAGAAUUCUCAUUUUCUUUGGGAAAGGGAAAAUAGGGUUGCCAAACUAGCCUUAAAAUUGGAUUGAAUCCUUCAUUCCAAAGGGGCGCUAAGUAUGUGACUGAUGUGAAUAGUUUAAACAUUGGCACUACACGUGUGGAUUCAGCAACUCCGCCACAUUAAAGACCAUACAGCAUUCCAGAUGACUAGGGCAGUGAAUUGAGUCUCCACACUGCACUGGAGAUCUGCGGGAUCAGGUACAAGAGUGGAGUGGAAUGAUUAUUUGUGUUCGGAUCAGCUACUACGCCUGCAGUCCUGCUCCAGUUCAUCAGCCUCUGCAAUCACGGCGAUCUUGACUAAUACGGGUGUGGCUGGCCAAAUUGAUUCCCCCAGGACUUAAGGUACCUCGUAGAUCUCCAGACGUCAUCCGCAUUGUGAGUGUGUGAUUGUAGGAGAAAGUGAGAAACCCACCACGAUCAUCCUGUGUAUAGCACAGUAAGGAUCUCAUCCCAGAUUCCCAGCCACAUGCAGUAAUAGUUUCUACCACAAUUCUGUGUCAUAACUCCAAUACAAAUUUCACACGGAUCAUAUUAUUGGAUAUAUACCAGCUUUUAUAGAAUCGAGAUGUAGCAUUCCCUGCUAAACAAACACCUUCACUAUACCUGAGCCUGAUAUAUGCAAGUUGGGUAUUGGAAUCGAUCUGCUAUAUAAGUUUAGAAAAGGUUUUAAACAUAAUAAAGUUUUGAGUGGCAAUGCCAGCAAAUCAGAAGCACCACAUAUUCCAACAUGACUGUUAAAGUGUACAAAAAAGAAGACAAGAAGUUCAGCAUGAAGAAGCUAUCAAGAAAGUUUGCAGCAUUCAUCAAAGAAGUCUUAUCAAUGUGGUCAGUCUCUGAUAAGUGAUAAGCAAGCACCUUAUUAGAUGCUAAAGAGCAGACCAGCAUGCUAAGUUGUCUGGAUAAACAUUAUGAUUGGUAUGUCUAGUUGAAGAUAUUAUAAGCCUGCUUCUUUAUCUCCACAGCUUCGAGGAGCUUCUUGGCCACCGCGCAUGCGUACACAGAAGAGCCCUUAGGUAUCUGCAGUAUCAAGAUAUGAAGUAUCAUAACUAAUGUCUGUGAUACAGACACAGGGAAAAGGAUCAGGAACAUAGAAGAAAUGUUCGUUACCUUUGUAUUGAACAUGAAUAUAUGGUGAUCUCCAAUGAUUCCCCCAACAACAUGGAUGAGCUCAAGAUGAAACUCCUCUAGAACCUUUGCAGCACAAAGCAAAGAGUUGGCUCUCUUCUUCUCUGUGAAUUUGAUAUUUAUUUCAUCAUCGACUAUGCGGACAUCAACGUCACACUCCUUGGACCUCCUUUGAACCCAGGAGCUCCUUAUAGUCCCAUUCAUCUGAUUGUUUUGAUCAUCACUCACUGGCUGCAUUGAAGAACUUUCCCCAUCAUCAGCUGCCUCCUCAUCCAACUUCAGUAUCUUCCUCCUGUCAGCGCUGUUCCUCUUCUUUUCAAGUAGGAUCUUCAGUUCUUUCACUGUUCUAUUAAGCUCAUUGAUGUAUUCAAUGGCAUCUCCAACUAUAGAGGCCCUGUCAUUCUGGAAAAUAGCUUUACAACAAUUCAGAAUUCAUAGCAUCUUAUUCACUAAGCCUACAAUAAAUGUAAGGAAAGAAAAACAAUAUUGCAUUGUGCUGGUCAUAACUAGAGUUUAUGGAAUGGAAGAUAUCUUAUCUCGCAUAUUGUAGAAUUACAUUCUACUUUGUUGGAUGCUGAUACUAAAGAUCAAUUUAAGUGCAUUAGUCCACUGAAUACAUGCAAAAAAUUCCAUGAUCACCUUCCUCCACAUACUAAUGCCACUUUAUAAGAGUUUGCUAACGACGAAUCAAUCUUUAAUAAAGUUUUUUUAUCAUACACAUUUGUUUCAAUUUUAUUUUUCCUAGAGAAAACAAUCUGAAUACAUAUUCCAUUAUAUCCUGUACGAAUAGAACUUACUAAAUGUUCUAGAAAUCUUUGUAACUGUGGAAAGUGAGUUCUUCUGCAAUGCGAAAAACAAUUAUGAAAUUUGUGCGUGGAAAGAUAAGCUAUACAAACCUUAGUAGGGUUUGGGAACAGUGACCUUAAAGCCCCAUACUUCACAUUAAACUGCUCCCUCCUCUCUCUUUCAGUUGCAAAGUUAGCUUUUCCUUUGCCUUUGCCAAAUCCACCUUUCUGCUUUCUACUCCCCAGUAUUGGGCUGUCGAACUGCCUCCCAUCUAUCUCCUGGAAAAUAUUUCCUGAGACCCCUGGUACCCCGACCAUUCCAUCUCUCUCAUCAUCACUGGUAAAUAACCCAUAGUUUUGUGGUAGUGAAUGAUAGAGAUCCUUCAACAUAUGAGAUUGAGUUGCAUGAUAGCCUAACGGUACAGUUGAAUCGCUGAACAUCAUUCCACUUUCAUGAUUUGCUACUCCUGGAAGAUCAUUUGUAAUGUCCAACCUGUUGACCAUGUUCUGUGCUGGAUCACUAAAGAUAUGUUCUGUGGAAGGAAAUUCAGGAAUCAAACUGCACCUUUGGAUAUGUAGAGAAUUUAGAAGAUCAUGUGCAGCUGCAUAAGUGCCAUUUCGAUAUGAUGCAGGGUCAUAGCCCAGGACCUGUUGUUCCACAGUUAUGUUAUGCGGACCUUCUAUCUGGUGGCUAAGGAUAUGAUCUUGAACACCAUAGACAGCAGGAACCAAAUUUUCAGUUUCUGCUGGAGGAACUUCUUGCAUCAUGUGAUCACUAUGGUCCUGCUCGAUGUCAAUCCCCAGCUGGUGUUGAAUUUGGUCUAUCACCCUUGCAGCCUCAGAGGUAAGGUUGGCUGGAUUGGAGUGAUCUUCUAUGAUAAAGGGCGCAAAUCUGAAGUUCUGCUGUUCAACAUCUGUAUUGUCAUAGAUGGAAGAUUGUGAAGAAUCAUGGAUCAUUGAUCCUUCCAUGAGAAUAUGGUCAUGAGAACCAUCAAAAUAGCCUCCCCCAGCAAUCAUUUUGGCACUGGUUACCUUCACUCAAAAGAUAAAAAAAUACAACAUUUAGGAAAUAUAUGCACCAUAUAAGUAUCUAAAGUAUCAAAACAUUUGGGAAGAAGCAAAGGCAGGAGACAAAACUUAUUAAGAAACAUAGAAGUAGCCUGCUAGAGGAUCUGAAAUAGACAAAACUAUUAGCUGGUGCCCAUGAAUUAAGGGAAAAGAUGACUCAACCUGUAUGAAACAACGAUGAAGUUGAUUAGACAGAGAAGAUUGCAGCUGGCUUAGUUGGUUUGAUUGUUUGAGAGGAAGAGAACACUCAAGGUUUAAGCUAGGCAAUCUGUUUCUCUCUAUCUUUUCCGUGUGGGGUUUUAUUAGCACAUUGGAUGAGACAGGAAGCCUUUUUGCUUACUAAGGACCCAACAAACUGCCUUGCGUCUUUUUUUGCGCCCUACUCCUAAAAAUAUGAAUCUUGCUAUUUUGUGCUUCAACUACCAAGCUCAACAGAACACAGACUAGUAUAAGUAUUGACAAUGACCAAAGUGCCCUUUACCUUCCUGAAAUCUCUAAACAAAUGCACUACAAGUCCAAUAGUUGAGAAAGGUAGUAUGUUUAAAUCUCAAAGACAGUAAUUCAUAAUGUAAGCAAAACUUCAUUAUUUAGAUACAUACUCCCUCUGUUUUUUUAUUUGACGCUUUUUAGUUCAAAAAUGAACUACCUGGCGUCAACUAUUUAAAAAUGGAGGUAGUAUUUUUCUUCUUCUUCAGGUUGGUAUAUACAAGCCGGCAGUUUCAAUCUAGCAUCUGCAUCCUGCCAAUAAUACUAAAAACUGAAAGUAAUGAGAAGAGAACAGUACCAAGAUUAUUUUGACAGACCAGACAGCGGACACGCUGUUCAGAAACUAGUUGCUGAAAACCAUCCUUGCGAAGUAGUCUGAGUGUGCUGCUAGUAAUAUAUAUGGUAAAAAGGCAAAAUGUAAUUGGCAUGUGGGCAGUACCGCAAUAGUACGAAAAUUUGGUUGCCACGUAAAUUUGAUGAUCAGAUAACAGAAUAUGUUUAUAUCUACACCAAUCAUUUCCUAAAGUUUCUCUUCAACAUUCUUAUAAGUGGUCGAAGUGAAGGGCUAUCAGAUUUCAGAUCAUCAUCAUUAAGAACGGCCACGAGAAAGAUGGAAAACUCACACUCUUUGAACUUGGCAUCUUUGCUGUUAUUCAUGCCAUAGGAAGUUGGGAAAUGCAAGUCAUGCCUUCUCCGUUCCACCGUAUUUUACGCGCAUUAUGCUGUAGUGUGCUUUCAGAAACUAAAAGGACAAGUCCAACUACCUGAAAAACUGGACAGUUGCAAAGGUAGUCAUAACCUUGCAAAGGUAAUCAUCAUGCCAUGCUUGAAUGUCUUUGUACUUUGUACACUUGGACCCAGUAGACAGCAGUUAUUUGUGGUUGACAUUUCUGGGAUUCUUAUUAUUUCCCAUAUAAUAUAUGUGCUAGGCAGAGACUGUCUAAAACGAUGACUCUCUGAAUUUAUGUUUCAGGAACAUACCAUGUCUUUUCUGAAAUUCGAAUGCAAAUGAACACCUCAUCCAACAGAAUGUUCAGGGAGGGAACACCUUUCAGAAAAGAAGAGAAACGGAGUGAUGGAACUCAACUGUGAAGGCUGCGUCUGCGCUUAGCUUUGUGAAUAUGGUGAUGGAUCUUAUGGUCAUUCUUGAAUUUGUCCAUGGCACCAUUCAUGCUAAACAACCUGUUCUAACCAUGUGGAGGGACACUGGUUCUGGGUGUUCAUAUGUUUUUUUUUUCUGGAGCUGCAAAUGCUUGGGGUAAACAAGCAUUCUGAUCGUUUUGCUGAGCUGCAUUACAGCGACAAAUUUGAUGAGCAAUAGAGGCAGAUUAAGCUGGAAGUUGAAAUCAAUGAAAUUUGGAAGUUCUGUUAACCUUGUGUCAACUGGGGAAGUGAUUUCAACGGGAGGUAGGCAGAAUUAUUCGCCUCUGAAUGCCUAUGCCAACCCUUGUGAACUCUGAUAUAUGCUCACUCCGUUCCAAAAUAAAUCCGAACUUUCAUAAAUUUAUUUGACUAGAUUUAUAGAAAAGAUUAAAUCUGUAUCUUCAAAUAAAUUAAUUAUGAAAAUAGAUUCAACGAAGGAUAUGGACUAUAAAUAUUAUAGUUAGUCACUUAGUCAAAGUGAGAACGGCACUUGUUUUGGGACGGAGGAGCACGAGUGAAGUAGACUGAAAGAUUAAUCGUCUCUGAAGAAUGCCUAUCA
rnacentral:lncRNA from 1 species